rnacentral:rRNA from 1 species
GUAAGCGCAUGCAGGUGGUUCAUUAAGUCAGAUGUGAAAGCCCGGGGCUCAACCUCGGAACUGCAUUUGAAACUGGUGAACUAGAGUACUGUAGAGGGGGGUAGAAUUUCAGGUGUAGCGGUGAAAUGCGUAGAGAUCUGAAGGAAUACCAGUGGCGAAGGCGGCCCCCUGGACAGAUACUGACACUCAGAUGCGAAAGCGUGGGGAGCAAACAGGAUUAGAUACCCUGGUAGUCCACGCCGUAAACGAUGUCUACUUGGAGGUUGUGGCCUUGAGCCGUGGCUUUCGGAGCUAACGCGUUAAGUAGACCGCCUGGGGAGUACGGUCGCAAGAUUAAAACUCAAAUGAAUUGACGGGGGCCCGCACAAGCGGUGGAGCAUGUGGUUUAAUUCGAUGCAACGCGAAGAACCUUACCUACUCUUGACAUCCAGAGAAGCCAGCGGAGACGCAGGUGUGCCUUCGGGAGCUCUGAGACAGGUGCUGCAUGGCUGUCGUCAGCUCGUGUUGUGAAAUGUUGGGUUAAGUCCCGCAACGAGCGCAACCCUUAUCCUUGUUUGCCAGCGAGUAAUGUCGGGAACUCCAGGGAGACUGCCGGUGAUAAACCGGAGGAAGGUGGGGGACGACGUCAAGUCAUCAUGGCCCUUACGAGUAGGGCUACACACGUGCUACAAUGGCGCAUACAGAGGGCAGCAAGCUAGCGAUAGUGAGCGAAUCCCAAAAAGUGCGUCGUAGUCCGGGAUUGGAGUCUGCAACUCGACUCCAUGAAGUCGGAAUCGCUAGUAAUCGUGAAUCAGAAUGUCACGGGUGAAUACGUUCCCGGGG